rnacentral:lncRNA from 1 species
ACACCAGACAGUAGACAGAGAACAAGAGGAAGCAGAUUCCAGAAGCAGCAGCUGAGAUCCAGUCGUGGAUUGGAGGCAAUGUUAACAUGCCCCUCCAACUUGGAAAGACAAACUGGUGUGUAGAGAUUUACACUGUGAACUUUUUUUCCAAGCAACAAUGCAGGAACUUAACAGGAACACUGAAAGAAACCACAGACCCUUUGAAAGAAGCAGCAGGCUGCAGCCUACACCAUGAGCCAUGCAGAAAACUGUAAGCCUCCAGAGUAAGAGCUGGGGAUAAACUGCCUCUAGGAUUCACACUCCCUUGUGGGAACCUGUCAAUCCAGGCCAAGGGAGAAGUCUUUCACCAUACCCAGUGCUGGAACUGAUUCAGAGAGCACUGGGGAAUAUCAAGGAAGAAGCAACAGUAGGGAGAGCCUUGUGUGCAUUUUCAAUCUCCAGCAUGGACCGAGGGAAGUUAUUCCUGAUCCUGCCUCACAGGGGCCUUGAAGAAGUCUGCCAGCUAAAUCAGGCAGUGGUCACAGGUUGAAAGAAGCUUCCAGCUGAAAUUAGUGAUAUAAUCUCAAUUGAGGAUGAACUCCCUUGGCCAGAAUCAGGGGGUGAGUGAGAAGCCUACUGUAGCCACGAGCACAGAAAUUGGGCACCCCAGGUUUGCAGGUGGACUGGGAGGGGAAUGGUCUGAAAGCUGUGGUUGCUGUCUCCACCAGGAAGGUUUAUGGCCUGGGUCAGAUUUUAGUUCUGAGCACAGACUGCCUGAAACUUAGCUAGCUGCAGCUGGUGGAGCAGUGUGGGUGUGGGACCUGCCUUGCCAAAUGCAUGGAAGCUGGGUGGGGCUUACUGCUGCCUGCUUACUCCCCACUCCCUGUGCCAACACUUCUUCACAGCAGAGGCAGCUGCAUUCUGCCCUGGAACAUGACCCCAGUGUCCAGAGAACUGCCCCCUCACACCACAGGGGCCACAGUUUGCCCUGGAAGCAGAAAGCCAGAGUGCAGGCCUGCCUGACCCAGCCCCCACCUGGCUUUGUCCCUCCACCCACCCUGAUAGCUUAACACAAAGGACAGAAACUUUUGGCAGCUCUACGGCCCCACCUAUAGCUUGAAAAUCCAGAAUACCUCUCCUGGGUAAAAGGCAAGCACACAUCCCAUUGCUACUACUGCAGCUGGUGCCCUUUGCAAAUGCCACCUCUUGGCUGGAGGCCAACCAACACGGUCCAUCACAGCAUCUCUGGGUAGAAUAACCUACACCCAGGAAGAAGAAAACUUGUAUGUGACCUCAGCCAUCACCAUUGCCUACAGGACCUGGCUAAAUACGUGGUCCUGAGUUUGUCCAUGUGACCAGUUCAUUACUACUACAAUCAGUAUCUGAGAAAGCCAACACACUAUGGCUAUUUAUAACCAAAGGAUCUCUAAUGUAGAUAGAGUCUACAUCACUCUCCUGCCCGUUGUUGGGAUACGUGAGGAUAGGUCACAUCACUGGAUUUCUUGUAGACAUUCCCCAGCACCAGCCUGGAGUGUGGCAGCACCACUGGGUGGCUAGACUCAGAGGAGCAGCAGCAUUUACAGUAGUCUGGCUCUCAGGGCCUCCUACUCCUAGGGGAAGGGGGAAUGCAACACAUCAUGGGAACACCCCAUGGGACAAAAGAAUCCAGAUGGCAGGACUUGAGUCCCAGAACUUUCCACAGGUGGAAAGUUUCAUUCAGCAGAGACACAGGUGCAGUGCUAGGCUCAGCAAGGAAAGUCUGUAGUUCCACCCCAAUAGUCAGGCAGCCCUGAUGCUCAUGAAAGGUCUUGGAGAAGGAGACUUCUUUCUCCCCUUGUCCACCACUGCAGAUACAGCUGGGGCUUCCACCAUGGGAGCUUGGCAUGGGUUUACCUAUAGACAGCCUUUCUGGAAUACUUCAGGGUGUGGCUGCAUCUCCACAGGAGAAGGGCCCUCCAGGUUCAGGCUUGCACAAGGAGUACAGUCACAAUUCCUCUCUACUUGGAAAAUCAACAUUCCUGUAGAUGAAAAGAGGUGCCUCUCUGAUGAAUAGCCAGAACAUUGGGUCAGGAGUGUGUCUGGGUCAGGAGUGUGUCUAGGAAGUGGAUCACUUUCCUGCUAGCCUGGCAGGAGAGCUGAGGUGGCGCCUACUCUUUCCCUGACAAGACUUCAGUCUAUUCCACUGAGAGCUCCUCCAUGCACUUCUGUCAGGACAGAGGCAUUUGCAAUACCCAUUGAUGGACACCUGCUUUUGCCACACCAGUCUCUACCCAGGGACACCACUCCUACUGGCCUGAAGCCUAAACUAUUCAACCCAGUAAAUAAAUUAUUGAGGGGAAAAUAGAUUUUUAAAUAAGUGUACACCACAAGAGAAUGAGAUAAGCCUCAAGAAACUUCUGCCAUUCCAACCUCACAGGAGACAGUGAAUUUGCUCAUACACCAAACACAUUGCUACUACAAUGAGCAUCUGAGAAAGCUACUACAAAAAGGCCCUCUAUAGCCUAGGAACCCAUACAGGGUCUUGACCUCUGAAAGCACCAAGAGCAGAAUUAGCUUUCAAUCUGCUAUAAAAAUUAAAUUCACAUCUCCAAGGAAAAAUAAAGAAAUUUUAAAAAACAAUAAAAUCAAAAAUAAACUAAGAAAUAAUUAGAACAUAUAGUCUGCCCAAAUAAGAAGCAACCAGAAAAAUACUUCUGGUAAUAUGACAAAACAGGAUUCCAUAACAUCUCCAAAAGAUCAUACUAGCUUUUGAGCAAUGGAUCCAAACCAAGAUGAAACCUCUACAAUACCAGAUAAAGAAUUCAAAAGGUUGAAUAUUAAGCUACUCAAGGAGAUAUCAAGAAAAAUGGAAAACAUAAAGAAUAUAGAAAAAUGAUUCAGAAUAUGAAUGAAAAAAUUUAUAAAGAGAUAGAUAUUUUACAGAAAAACCAAUCAAGCUUCUGGAAAUGAAAGAUACAUUUAGGGAGUUACAAAAUGUAGUGGAAUGUUUUGACAACAGACUAGACCAAGUAGAAGAAAGAAUUUCAGGGCUUGAAACAAGUCUUUCAAGUCAACUCAAUCAGAAAAAUAAUAAAGAAAAAAGAAUCAAAAGAAAUGAGCAAUGUCUCCAAGAAAUAUGAAAUUAUUUAAAAUGGCCAGACCUAAAAAUAACUGGUGUUCCAAAUAAUUGGUGAGGGAGAAGAGAAAGCAAAAACAUUGGAAAACUUAUUUGAUGGAAUAAUUGAGGAAAACUUCCCUGGCUUUGUUAGGCAAAUUUAGAUGUCCAAAUACAAGAAGCUCAAACAACUCCUAGGAGAGUCAUUGCAAAAAGGACAUCACCGAAGCAUAUACUCAUUGGGAUUUCUAAAGUUAACAUGAAGGAAAGAAUUCUAAGAGCAGUGAAACAAAAGCAUCAGGUAACCUCUGAAGGAAAAUCUAUUAGACUAACAGCAGACUUCUCAGCAGAAACCUUACAAAUCAGAAGUAUUAAGGUCUUAUCUUUAGCUUCCUUAAAUAGAAUAACUGUCAGUUAAGAAUUCUGUAUUCAGCAAAACUAAAUUUCAAAAAUGAAAGAGAAACAGUUAUUUUCAGACAAACAAAUGCUGAGGAAAUUUAUCACUACUAGACCAGCCCUACAAGAAAUGCUAAAAGUAGUUCUAAAUGUUGAAACAAAAGUCCUAUAUGAAACAUAAUAGAACCUCUUAAAAGCAUAAAACUCACAGGGCCCAUAAAACAAUAACACAAUGAAGAAAACAAAGUAUCUAGAUAACAUUUUGCCUGAAAUAAUACCUCACAUCUCACAUUAAUGUUGAAUGUAAAUGCCCUAAUACUCCACUUAAAAGAUACAGAUUGGCAGAAUAGAUUAAAACCAUCACAAACCAAAUAUGUGCUGUCUUCAAGAGAUUCAUCUAACAUAUAAAGAUUCAUAUAAACUCAAGAUAAACAGCUGGAAAAAGAUAUUUGAUGCAAAUGGAAACCAAAUGUAAGCAGGAGUAGCUGUUCUUAUAUCUGAUCAAAAAGACAUGGAAGAAACAACAGUUUAAAAAAAAGACAAGGUCAUUAUAUAAUGAUAAAAUGAUCAAUUCAACAAGGAGAUAUUAUAAUCCUAAAUUUACAUGCACCUAACUCUGGAGCUGCCAGAUUUACAAAACAAAUACUACUAGACCUAAAAAAUGAGAUGAAUAGUAAUGCAAUAAUAAUGGGGAACUUCAACAUUCCACUGACACUAGACAGAUCUUCAAGACAGAAAGUCAACAAAGAAACAAUAACUUACACUACACUCUAGAACAACUGGACCUAAGAGAUGUUUACAGAAAAUUCUACCCAACAACUGCAGAAUAUACAUUCUUUCACCAGUACAUGGAGCAGUCUCCAAGAUAGACCAUAUGAUAGGCCACAAAACAAGUCUUAAUGAAGUUUAAAAAAAAAUGAAAUCAUAUCAAGUACCUUCUCAGACCACAGUGGAAUAAAACUAGAAAUCAACUCCAAAAGGAACCCUCAAACUAGACAAAUACAUGAAAAUGAAACAAUCUGCUCCUAAAUUAUUUUUGGGUUAACAAUGAAAUCAAGAUGGAAUUUAAAAAGUUAUUUGAAAUGAAUGAUAAUAGUGAUGUAAUUUAUCAAAACCUCUGGGAUACAGCAAAAAUAGUGCUAAGAGAAAAGUCUGUAGUGCUAAAUGCCUCCAUCAAAAAGUAUAAAAGAUCACAAAUUGACAAUCUAAUAUCAUACCUCAGGCAACCAGAGAAACAAGAACAAACCAAACCCAAAGCUAGCACAAGUAAAUACACAACAAAGAUCAAAGCAGAACAAAAUAAAAUUGAUACAGAAAAACAAUACAAAACAUCAAUGAAACAUAAAGUUGCUUCUUUGAAAACAAAAACAAAUUGAUAGACCAUUAGCUAGAUUAAUCAAGAAGAGAGAGGUUUCAAAUAAGAUUAAAAAUGAAAAUGAAGACAUUACAACUGACACUACAAAAAUACAAAAGAUCAUUUGAGACUACCAUAAACACUUUUAUGCACACAAACUAAAAAAUCUAGAGGAAAUGAAUAAGCUCUUGGAAACGUACAAUCCUCCUAAAUUAAAUCAAGAAGAAAUACAAACCCUGAACACACCAAUAACAACCAGCAAGACUGAAUCAGUAAUUUUAAAAAAUGCCAACAAAAAUAAGACCAGGGCCAGAUGGAUCCACAGCUAAAUUCCACCAGACAGUCAAAGAAAAAUUGGGACCAACCCUGCUGGAACUAGUCCAAAAGAUUCAGAAGGAUAGAAUCCUCCCUAACUAUCUAUGAAGCCAUUAUCACCCUGAUACCAACACUAGGAAAGUAUAUAACAACAACAACAAAAAAGAAAACCACAGACCAAUAUCCCUGAUAAAUACAGAUGCAAAAAUCCUCAAUAGAAUACUAGCUAACUGAAUCCAACAACACAUCAAAAAGAUAAUAAAUCAUGAUCAAGUGGGUUUCAUUACAGGGAUGCAGGGAUGGUUUAACACAUGCAAGUCAAAAAAUGUGAUAAAUCACAUAAACAGAAUUAAAAAUAAAAACCAUAUGAUCAUCUCAACAGAUGCAGAUAAGGCAUUUGAUAAAAUCUAGCAUCACUGUAUGAUAAAAAUCCUCAACAAACUAGCCAUAGUAGGGGCAUACCUCAAAAUAAUAAAAGCCAUAUAUGAUGGAUCCACAGUCAAUGUCAUACUGAAUGGUGAAAAGUUGAAAGCAUUCCCCCGAGAACUAAAACAAGGCAAAGAUGUCCACUUUCACUACUUCUAUUCAACAUAACACCUGAAGUCCUAGCUAGAACAAUCAGACAGGAGAAAGAAAUAAAGUGCAUCAAAAUUGAAAAAGAGGAAGUUAAACUAUCAUUGUUCACUGAUAAUAUGAUUGUAUAACUAGAAAGCUGUAAAGAUUACUCCAUAAGACUACUAGAUUUGAUAAAUUCAGUAAACUCUCAGGUUACAAAAUCAAUGUACACAAAUCAGUAGCACUUCUAUAUACCAACAAUGAUCAAUCUGAGAAUCAAAUCAAGAACCCAAUUCCUUUUACAAUAGCUGAAAAAACUAAAAUACUUUAGGAUAUACUUAAACAAGGAGGUGAAAGAUCUCUACAAGGAGAGCUAAAAGAAACUGCUGAAAGAAAUCACAGAUGACACAAACAAAUGGAAACAUAUCCCAGGCCCUUGGAUUGGCAGAAUCAAUAUCAUGAAAAUGACCGUACUGCCCAAAGCAAUCUACAGAUUCAAUGCAAUUCCUAUCAAAAUACCAACAUCAUUUUUAACAGAACUCGAAAAAAUAUCCUAAAAUUCUGUGGAUUACAAAAAUAACCUUAAUAGCUAAAGCAAUCCUAAGCAAAAAGAACAAACCUGGAGGUAUCACAUUACCCGACUUCAAAUGAUACUACAAAGUCAUAACUACCAAAACAGCAUGACACUGGUAUACAAGUAGGUGCAUCAUAAACCAAUGGAACUAAACAGAGGGCCCCAAGUAAAGCCAAAUACUUACAACCAAAACUGAGGCUUGAGAAAGCAUUCAAAAAUAUAAAUUGGGGAAAGGACACCUUAUUUAAUAAAUGUUGCUGUGAAAACUGGAUAGCCAUAUGUAGAAGAAUAAAACUGGAUCCCUAUCUCUCACCUUAUAUAAAAAUCAACUCAAGAUGGACCAAAGACUUAAAGCUAAGACCUGAAACUAUAAACAUUGUAUAAAAUAGCCUAGAAAAAAGCUCUUUUGGACAUUGGUCUAGGAAAAUAAUUUAUGACUAAGACCCCAAGAGCAAAUGCAACAAAAACAAAAAUAAAUAGGACCUAAUUAAACGAAAAAGCUUCUGCACAGCAAAAGAAUUAAUCAUCAGAGUAAACAGACAACCACAGAAUGGCAGAAAGUAUUUGCAAACUAUGCAUCUGACAAAGAACUAAUAUUCAGAAUCCACAAAGAGCUCAAAUAAAUCAGCAGGAAAAAAAACAAAUAAUCCCAUCAAAAAGUGGCCAAAUGACAUAAAUAGACAUUUCUCAAAAGAAGAUAUACAAAUGGCCAACAAAUAUAUCAAAAAAUGCUGAACAUCACUAAUCAUCAAGAAAAUUCAAAUUAAAACCACAAUGAGAUACCAUCUCACCCAUGCAAGUGUGGUCAUUAUUAUAAAGUCAAAAAAAGAAUAGAUGUUUGUGCAGGUAUGGUGAAAGGGAAUGCUCAUACACUGCUGGUGGGAAUGUAAAUUAGUAAAACAUCUAAGGAAAACAGUAUGGAGAUUUCUCAAAAAACUAAAAGAAGAUCUAGCAUUGUAUCCAGCAAUCCCACUACUGGGUAUCUCUCCAAAGGAAAAUAAGAUAUUAUAUCAAAAAGACAUCUGCAUAUACAUGUUUGUUAGAGCACAAUUCACAAUUGCAAAGAUAUGGAACCAAUCUAAGUACCCAUCAACCAAUGAGUGGAUAAAGAAAAUAUGGUAUAUAUACACCAUGGAAUAUUACUCAGCCAUAAAAACAGAAUGAAAUAACAUCUCAGGCAGCAACUUGGAUGGAGCUGGAGGCCAUUAUUCUAAGAAGUAACUCAGAAAUGGAAAACCAAAUACCAUAUGCUUUCACUUAUAUGUGGGAGUUAAGCUGUGGGUAUGCAAAGGCAUACAGAGUGGUAUAAUGGACUUUGGAGACAUAGAAGCGGGAAGAUGAGAGGGAGGUAAGGGAUAGAAAACUACAUACUGGGUACGAUACACACUACUCAGGUGAUGAAUGCAAUAAAAUCUUAGGUUUUACCACUAUACAAUUCAUCCAUGUAAUCAAAAACCAUGUACAUCCCCAAAGCUAUUGAAAUAAAAUAUAUUUUUUAAAAAACAUGAAACCAUGGGCAAAAAUUAAUAGAAAUUAUCAAAAAAUUUGGGACAAGAUUAGCAAUGUUAUUUCAUGACUUCUGUAACUAGAAAUGUCUCAUAUCUGAUAUUUCCACUCCUAUUUUCUUUGCCACCGAUAUGUCCUCCUCACCACGCAGAGAAACAUUUUCAUUAAAUAAUUUACCCUGUUCAAGAAUAUAAAAUAUUUACUCUGAACUUCUCUAUUUGGAUCUUGUGAAAAUCAAUAGUUUUGUUCUAUUCUGAACAAAAGGUAGAUUAUUUAACCUAUCUUGCUAAGAAAGUCAUGAUAGAUUUCAGUCAAUUUAUGAAAAUUUACAAACAAAAUAUUUGUAGUAUGUGUACUAUAUUUUAAAAGUGAGUUGUAUCAAUUUAAUCCAAAACACACUGAGAAUUUGUCAAUAUGUACAUAUUUAAAACUACUUACAUGUAGGCACCAGAACUUUUCGAAAUAAUUUCACUGAUUUAUCAAAUGUCUUCAUUAGCAUCAAUGAAUACUUUAAAUGCAUUUUAACGUAGCUAAAUUUUUUUUUGUAUGAUAAAUCUGGUCCUUUUGAAUACAUUACCAAAUGUUUUUCAAUGUAAAAAGAAUUUUCUCCAGAAUUCUAACCUUUUCAAUUACUGGCAUUUUGAGUCAAUCAACAGUUAUGUAGCCAUAAUUUUUAUUUUUCAGGUGCUAUGGAAAUCUUGACUCUCAGAUUAAUUUGACUAGAAUAGCUGUCACUUUCUAAAAAUGAUAAUGAUUUUGAAAAAUAACAAUAAUUUUAUUGAAUUU